rnacentral:lncRNA from 1 species
UGGCUACACCCCAAGGGACUAUAGUCUCAUGAGAUCAAGGUGGCGAGAGAAGGCCUUUCUUAAUACACUGUAGCCUACCUUGGUCAUUCUUAGUAUUAAAAAAGAAGCUAAAGAAGCAGCCAAAUUAGUUUCUUCAAAAGCCAAAACUUGAGGUCCAAUCUUCACAGAAUAUAGUGUCUUACAAAGCGAAACAAAUAUUUCAAUAAUACCAUAAAAUG